CUGAAUUGUCCACAGCCAUGCAAGGAGAGUUAAACAAGGCAAACUUUCUAGGUGAAGGGUGGAGGCAGCAGACCAGAACAUGAGACCUGUGACUCAUGAAUGCUGCAGAAAGGAGAAACCAAUAAAAACUAUUUCUACUCUUUA